GCCCGCCUAGCUCAAUCGGAUAGAGCGUCAGACUCUUACGGCGGGUUGAUCCCAGUGAUCUGAAGGCUGCGAGUUCGACCCUCGCGGUGGGCU